CUGGGAAGUCAUGAAUAAGAGCCUUCUGAAGCCUACACGUCAGAUCUUCCUCAAUUAAUCUACCAUUAGCAUGUUUGGGAUCCAGCGCUUGAUGGCUUAACAGCGACUCGGGUAGCUGUGUGCUGGCCACCCCCAAUUAAGCUCUGUUCAGAAUGAACUCGGCAAGACCAGCCUUUCCUGAGCUGUCAGUGACUCCCGUUUUUCCUUAUUUUAACGUUUGUGUGUAGUGGCAGGCGACAGAUGGUGUGGAUCAGAUCGAUUUGAUUGCAUUAGGCGGUUUUUUUCGCCCCUCUCUCUCUCUCUCUCCCUCCUCUCCUCUCCCUCCCUCCCACCCCCACCAUCCCUUCUUUUCUGGAAGCCCGCAGCAUCUGAAAGGCGAUCGCCGGGGACUUGGAGAGCACCAGCAUCCGCCGAGGUGGGAAAGCAGCGGAGCACACACAAAGCCAGCUAGAGGCGCCGAAGUUCCGUUCCCAGGGCUUGUUAACACUAUAAUCCGGCACCAGGAGGGGAGAAGGGGGCAAAAAAGCUGCUUUCCGCUGACCAGAGCCUGUUUCCCUAGCUCAUCAGAUGACUCUCUGGGUUUUACACACAGUUGGAGUUCGGCUUGAAACCGGGAUUUAAAGGGAAUCCGCGUCGGCUUCGGCCAAGAGCUAUUCAAGCAACCCCCUCCCUACCCCGGAAAACUCCGAGAGGGACGGGACCGCCAGCGAGCCCCACAAGAAGAAAGCGGGAGCUGGCCAUGGUACGCUCAGCCAUCGCUGGCCUGGGCGGAGAAGGCGAUGACAGGACGGAGCAAUGAAUGGCUGUGCUUGGAGGCCCUUGGGAGUCCAGCUUGGAUUUGGGACCCACCGCUGCUGGCCGGGCGACUCCUCUCUUGGAUUCUGCUUUCCUCCGGGACGUACAGUUGUGGAUUUAUUGGCGCGGGGAGCGCAGGCUCCAACACACCCUCUUCGCCUCGACCUGCAGCCAACGGCACCGGCACCAACUUUCUGACUCUCUUCGGUGACGGGUAUUCUUGGGUGGAUAAUACGGAUUACGUUGUUAUUGCUUAAGAAUACGCGUAGUCGAGGAGAGUUCUUGCGGCAAGCGGGUGGGCAGCCAUGACCCUCCCCGUUGGCUUCUUAACCGGCUCUAGUUGCCAAGGUGAGGUGGUGGAUGUUCUGAAUCCUUGCUGGAGACGGUAAAUGGCUCGAUGGGGACCAACAAAUCCGAAGCUCAGUCCAGAUAAGAUAGUGGUCCUGUUGGUCAACAAACAGGGCCAAUCAGGAGUUGAGGAUUUGGUCUGUUCAGGAUGUGGGUUGCACUCCACCCAAAGGAGCAGGUUUGCAGCUUGGGGCUGUAAGACUCAUAUCCAGUUUAUCUGUAGCACCUUCCAUCGCCUUUGCUAUGUCCUUAUCUUGAGUGGUGUGAUUUGGCCACAUUUUUCCUUACACUGAUCAAAACCAGUUUGGAGUAUGCAUGGCUUGCCUUCAAGACCAUUUGGAAGCUACAACUGAUACAAAAUCGCAGCAAGAUUGCUUACUGGGGUAGUUAAUAUAGAACAUAUUAUAUAUAUAUUGUGAAACAAUGUAAUAAUGGGCUGCCAAUUUGCAUCUGAAAACGAAUUCAAAAUGCUGACUUUUGUCGUUAAAGUCCUAAAUGGCUUGGAAUCAGGAUAUCUGAAUGUUGUCCUGCUUCCAUAUUCACCCGUUUAUCAGUUAAGAUCUGUCUCAUAGGUCCUGCUUGUUCCAUCUGUGAUGGAAACAAGGCUUGAUGUUACAUGAAGUAGGGCUUUCUCCGUUAUGGCACCCCAACAUCGGAAUGCCCCCCUGUAAUGAGCCUGACGUUAGAUUUGAUGAGCUUUUAAGUCUUUUUUCCCCCUUUCUGUUCCUCAAGGGAUUUUUAGUGAAUGAUUGGGCUUGAUUUAAUUGUGCUGUGUUAUUUCGAGGCUUGUUGCCCAUUUGAGUAAGAAAAACACCAUUUUUUACUCUUCUGUUCUAACUAUGCCAAAUCUUGCCACUGUUUUGUGUACUUAUACGAUUGCACGGUUUAUCUUAGCUGUUUAUAUUUUACAACAGCUAUGUUCCUGGGUGAUCUUGUUGUGGGAUGGAUUUUUUUGAUACACUGUAUAUUUUAUUGGAUAUAUUGUGAGGUUCCCAAGAGUCAUUGUGCUGAGGGGCAAGAUACAUUUUAAAAAAUAAACCCAUAAAUAAUAAAGUUAA